rnacentral:rRNA from 1 species
UACGAAGGGGGCUAGCGUUGUUCGGAAUUACUGGGCGUAAAGCGCGCGCAGGCGGUCUUCCAAGUCAGUGGUGAAAGCCCGGAGCUCAACUCCGGAACUGCCAUUGAAACUGUUGGACUUGAGUACGAGAGAGGUGAGUGGAAUUCCCAGUGUAGAGGUGAAAUUCGUAGAUAUUGGGAAGAACACCGGUGGCGAAGGCGGCUCACUGGCUCGUAACUGACGCUCAGGCGCGACAGCCGUGGGGAUCAAACAGG